rnacentral:lncRNA from 1 species
AGACCGUUAGUGUAUAACAGAGUUGUUUGUUUCCUCUUUGAUUUUAAACAGAGAAAAUAAAAGGAGUAACUGCUCCUUUUUUCUUCCUUUUUUCAUUUCAAAGUUUCUACCAGUGUAUCAGUGACGGACAACAGAGAGACAUGCUGUAGAGUGUUUGCCUAGUUGACAAAGCUGCUUUUGAAUGCUGGUGGUUCUGUUCCUUUGACACUACGCACUUUUAUAAUAUGUGUUAAUGCUCUAUGACAAAUGCUCUGAUUCCUAGUGCCAAAGGUUCACUUCAGUGUAUAUAACUGAACACUCAUCCAUCUGUGCUCUUUUUUUUUUUUUUUAAUGGUGCUUAAAGAGCCCAUCCUUUGCAAGUCAUCCAUGUCAUUCCUUAGGCAUCUUAUCUUUGCUCAACUGUUAAAGAAUGGUGGCUUGUUUUCAUGGGUUUUGUAUUUGUGUCUAAUGCACG